UACGUAGGGUUCAAGCGUUGUCCGGAAUUAUUGGGCGUAAAGAGCUCGUAGGCGGCUUGUCGCGUCGUGUGUGAAAUCUCAGGGCUCAACUCUGACAUUGCAUACGAUACGGGCAGGCUUGAGUUCGGUAGGGGAGACUGGAAUUCCUGGUGUAGCGGUGAAAUGCGCAGAUAUCAGGAGGAACACCAAUAGCGAAGGCAGCUCGCUGGGACGGUACUGACGCUAAGGCGCGAAAGCGUGGGGAGCGAACAGG
rnacentral:rRNA from 1 species